rnacentral:snoRNA from 1 species
CCCCUCUCAGGGUCACACCUGGAGAGUUUCCAGUGCUCUACCAGUAUCGGCUUUGGGCGGGAGAGUCAGGCAGAGGCCUACCCUUUCCAUUCCUAGCUUGGCCAGUGGCUAGUGAGUGGAAGGCAAUCUGCUACAAGU